rnacentral:rRNA from 1 species
CCUACGGGCGGCUGCAGUCGGGAAUUUUGGGCAAUGGGCGAAAGCCUGACCCAGCAACGCCGCGUGAGUGAUGAAGGCCUUCGGGUCGUAAAGCUCUGUCGAGAGGGAAGAAUGUUCUCGGGGUAAACAAUCCCGGGAGCGUGACGGUACCUCCAAAGGAAGCGCCGGCUAACUCUGUGCCAGCAGCCGCGGUAAUACAGCGGGCGCAAGCGUUGUUCGGAAUUUGUAGGCGUAAAGCUCAGUUGGGCGGGAAAGCCCGGGGCGCAACCCCGGAACUGCACUCGAAACUGCCUCGCUCGAGUCCCGGAGAGGGUGGCGGAAUUCCCGGUGUAGAGGUGAAAUUCGUAGAUAUCGGGAGGAACACCAGUGGCGAAGGCGGCCACCUGGACGGUGACUGACGCUGAGACGCGAAAGCGUGGGGAGCAAACAGGAUUAGAUACCCUAGUAGUC